rnacentral:misc_RNA from 1 species
GUUGGCAUCAUUUCGUAUGGGCGAACCGUGUCGGUGUACGAUUUCUCAGAGGGUUCGAUGGCAUCUGCAGAUGUACUUCCGGGUGGUAAGUCGCCUACUCAAGAAUCUCUGAAAGCAUUGUUUUGUGGGACCGGUAUUUACCUGGCUGCGACCCAUGCGUCACGUCCUGUCAUGGAUAAGGUUUUUUCGUCUCUAAGACCGUACAAGCUUAACUUGCCG